rnacentral:rRNA from 1 species
CCUAUGGGUGGCAGCAGUGAGGAAUAUUGGUCAAUGGACGCGAGUCUGAACCAGCCAAGUAGCGUGAAGGAUGACUGCCCUAUGGGUUGUAAACUUCUUUUAUAUGGGAAUAAAAUGUUCCACGUGUGGGAUUUUGUAUGUACCAUAUGAAUAAGGAUCGGAGAACUCCGUGCCAGCCGACGAGUUAAUACGGAGGAUCCGGGCGUUAUCCGGAUUUAUUGGGGUUAAAGGGAGCGUAGGGGGAUUGUUAAGUCAGGUGUGAAAGGUUGCGGCUCAACCGUAAAAUUGCAGUUGAAACUGGCAGUCUUGAGUACAGUAGAGGUGGGCGGAAUUCGUGGUGUAGCGGUGAAAUGCUUAGAUAUCACGAAGAACUCCGAUUGCGAAGGCAGCUCACUGGACUGCAACUGACACUGAGGCUCGAAAGUGUGGGUAUCAAACAGGAUUAGAUACCCCAGUAGUC